UUUUUUUUUUUUUUUUUGUUUCCCCGUAGGAUGAACGCUAGCGGCAGGCCUAAUACAUGCAAGUCGGACGGGAUUCAAUAGCUUGCUAUUGAUGAGAGUGGCGCACGGGUGCGUAACGCGUGAGCAACCUGCCCAUUUCAGGGGGAUAGCCCGGAGAAAUCCGGAUUAAGACCGCAUAUGAUCACGUUACCGCAUGGUAGAGUGAUGAAAUAUUCAUAGGAAAUGGAUGGGCUCGCGUGACAUUAGCUAGUUGGUAGGGUAACGGCCUACCAAGGCGACGAUGUCUAGGGGCUCUGAGAGGAGAAUCCCCCACACUGGUACUGAGACACGGACCAGACUCCUACGGGAGGCAGCAGUAAGGAAUAUUGGUCAAUGGGGGGAACCCUGAACCAGCCAUGCCGCGUGCAGGAAGACGGCCCUACGGGUUGUAAACUGCUUUUGCACGGGAAUAACCCUCAUUAUGUAUAAUGAGCUGAAUGUACCGUGAGAAUAAGGAUCGGCUAACUCCGUGCCAGCAGCCGCGGUAAUACGGAGGAUCCGAGCGUUAUCCGGAAUUAUUGGGUUUAAAGGGUGCGCAGGCGGGGAUCUAAGUCAGGGGUGAAAGACGGUGGCUCAACCAUCGCAGUGCCUUUGAUACUGGAUUCCUUGAAUAUACCUGAGGUAGGCGGAAUGUGGCAAGUAGCGGUGAAAUGCAUAGAUAUGCCACAGAACACCGAUUGCGAAGGCAGCUUACCAAAGUAUGAUUGACGCUGAGGCACGAAAGCGUGGGGAUCGAACAGGAUUAGAUACCCUGGUAGUCCACGCCCUAAACGAUGAACACUCGGAUGUCGGCGAUAGACAGUCGGCGUCCAAGCGAAAGCGUUAAGUGUUCCACCUUGGGGAGUACGCCCGCAAGGUGAAUAGGAAAUUAUGGCGCGGGGGCG
rnacentral:rRNA from 1 species